CGGAUUCUGGCUCAGGAUGAACGCUAGCGACAGGCUUAACACAUGCAAGGUCGAGGGGCAGCAUAAAAGUAGCAAUACUUGGUGGCGACCGGCGCACGGGUGAGUAACGCGUAUGCAACCUACCUAUCGAGAGGGGAAUAACCCGGCGAAAGUCGGACUAAUACCGCAUAAAACAGGGGCACCGCAUGGUGAUAUUUGUUAAAGAAAUUCGCUGAUAGAUGGGCAUGCGUUCCAUUAGGUAGUUGGUGAGGUAACGGCUCACCAAGCCGACGAUGGAUAGGGGAACUGAGAGGUUGGUCCCCCACACUGGUACUGAGACACGGACCAGACUCCUACGGGAGGCAGCAGUGAGGAAUAUUGGUCAAUGGGCGGGAGCCUGAACCAGCCAAGUCGCGUGAAGGAAGAAUGUCCUAAUGGAUUGUAAACUGCUUUUGCAGGGGAAUAAAGUGCAUCACGUGUGAUGUUUUGUAUGUACUCUGCGAAUAAGGAUCGGCUAACUCCGUGCCAGCCGCUGC
rnacentral:rRNA from 1 species